rnacentral:lncRNA from 1 species
CCCCCCCCCCCCCCCCCCCCCCCCCCCCCCCCCCCCCCCCCCCCCCCCCCCCCCCCCCCCCCCCCCCCCCCCCCCCCCCCCCCCCCCCCCCCCCCCCCCCCCCCCCCCCCCCCCCCCCCCCCCCCCCCCCCCAUUUCUACCCCCCCCCCCCCCCCCCCCCCCCCCCCCCCUUUUUUUUUUUUUUUUUUUUUGGUUGCGCUGCUUUGUCUGAAAGGAAUUGCUACUUCUACUUUAGUGCAAAACUUGAUACUCAAUCGAUCGAAAGUUGGACCAACAUGAGAUAUUGCACGGUAAUAAUAAUUGAAUACGUGCAUCCACUUGCUUUCUUUUGGUGAGACUUUAUUUUCUCCAUUAUUGUUAUUUUGCUCUUUUCUUGUAAUGAGACAAAGGAGUUUCAAGCCAAGCAGAUUAGUCAAAGAAAGCUGCACCAAGUGCGAGGAAAAUGAUAGGGAAAUAUCGAAACACACUUUUCUUCUUAUUUAAUGGUCAAUGCGUUAAUUUAGUACCUAAAUUAAUGACAUGAGGAUCAAGUGUGACGAUCAUAUUUAAGUUCAAAUAAAAAUGCAAAAAAGAAGUUAAUAGGAACAUGAUAUGCGAAUCUUUUAAGCUGCUUCUAAAAUAAGUACUUUGAUAUCAUAUAUAAGAAUAUAGAUAAAUGGUUAUUUAAUUCAUAUAUUUUUACUUCGUUUAACCUCUUUAUGAAAGUACUUCAAAACACUUUUACAAUUAAAUAUAUUAUAUUAUUAUUACUAUAACAAUAACAUUAAUUAAUUUAUUUAAAAAUUUUAAUUAAUAGAUUAACUAAUAAUUAUUUAUUAGUAAAUUAACCAAUAAAUUAAUAUCAAUAUGAAGGAACUAAUUUUUUUGUACCCGUAUAAUCAUCUUGUUAGUAAUUUAUUUAUAAAUGAAUUAAUAUCAAUCAACUUAAAGCAAUAUUUAAUAUCAUUGCAACAAUUUUAUUAGUAGUUAUUUUAUAGAAAAUUAAUUUACCAAAUUAAUCCUAAAAGCAAAAUAAUAAUAUAAAAUUUUGUGGAAAUUUUUAUGUUACUUCUAAGAAUAAUUUAAUAAAUCAACAUUUUUUUCUUUUUGUUAAUAUCCUCAAAAAGGUAAGGAUAUUGUUAAAAGAGCAUUAUUGUAAAAGGUAAGAAAAAAAUAACAUUAAUUUAAUUUAUUUAACAAUAAAGAUGUCUCGAGAUAUUUUUUAAAAUAUAAAGAUUAUACAAGUAUUUAAGUCAAAAUAUAAAAUCUAAACGAUCAUUUACAUUACACUAUAAUACAGAGGGAGGGGGGCUUUUACCUUUAAGUCAAUGCUACGAGCAUGGUCAUCACUACCUUAUUUCGGCGGGAAGGGAUUUAGUUCAACUUGGGUGCUUUGAGUUAAAACCAAAAAAGAAAAAAAAAAAUGAAACACCAAAUUGGAUCAUACACUGUCAUGAUGAAACCGUUGGGGGCAUGCCACGACCUGCAAGAUAUUUGAUUGAUUCUUGUCUUACGGCGUAGAUUGGAUUUCCGGUUCCAAAUUAAACGUGCUGAAUGUAUUUCUAAACUUGCAUAUAAGAGUACCCCAACCACACUUUUGCUGAUUUGAUAGAAAAUCAUAUGAAGAUACUUUUAAAUCAAGGCCAUUCUACCAAUGAACAUUAUUAUGAUUAAUUAUGACAUUAAGAAUUUAGACUAUAUACCGAUUAAAGGUACUGAUAUGAAUUGAUUAUUAUGACAUCUACAUUUGGUAAGAAUAAAGAUUCAUCUUUUAGUCAUUAAAGUUUGGUUUAAUUAUCCGGUUAAUUCUUAUAUGUUUUAAAUUACUCAAAAGGUACCUGUCGUUAUUUAAUAGUCCAGUUAAUUUAAAUUCGAAGUAAUCUUAUAAUCCAGUAAAUUAGAUAUUUGUAAUUUGACUCAAUAUGUAAUGAAUAAUCCUGGAAUAACAUCGAGAAUUUUAUAAACAAUUAUUCUAAUUAAAAUAUGAAACCAAAAGUGGCACUUUGUUUGACUGAACUUUUUACUUUUCGAGAAAAGGAAAAUCUCUUUCUCGUGGACGCAAUUGCAAAAUUCUACAAGUUACGUACGUAUUUGCAAUAUUAAUUAAUUUGCAUCAUGCAGGACGCGACUAUAUAUAUAAAUAUAAAAUCAUAAAACUCAUUUGGGCAGAAAAAAAAGGGGAAUGAAUAAAAAAUAAGUAUGAAGUAAUAAAAGCUGCAUGAUCAGUAUUGGUUGUGUCCAUGUGCCUGCAUGGGUCGGUCGGUCAAUCUACUUCAAUGUACUUUGCUUAGCAGCUGAAAGGAAUCAAAUAAAAAAAUUUGAACGUAAAACUAAUAUAUAAAUUCAUCAAAAAAAUCCGCUUUUUUCAUGAUUCAUCAUGAAAGCACGAUCCGACGGCCAUGAUUAUACUUUCUACAAGCUCACACGAGCUCAAGUACACCUCAUUUACAACCCAACUAUGAAAUAAAUACAUUUAAUUGUUUGAUAAUUAAUAAUAAUUAUUAUGAUAAUUUUUUCUUUUCUUUUUCUGAAACCCUAGUGCUGUUUAACAGUGGCUCUAGAUGCUAGUCUAGCUAUGUAGGAUUACAUUUCCUAUGCUCUGAUAAAAGUAAAAAUUUCAAUGACUGUAAAUGUAAUUGAAAAAGCCUGCUUGCUUUCUCAUCACCUUUCUUUAUAUAUAGCAACUGGAGGCCAUACGUUUGCUUCCCAAAAGUCUCUCUUAAAAAAUUAAUUGCUUAUUGUGUUUUAAUUUCUUUUUAUCUUCCAUGGCUGAAUUUGUUUCAUUUUGGCUUCUUCUUUUGGUUUCUAUGCUUCUUGCUUUUGUUUUGGGUCUCAUAAUCUUGAACCACAACUUGCCCUUGUUCUUGAGACUUAGCCAUGUCCCUAAGGGAACUUUUGGUCUGCCAUUACUUGGAGAAACCCUUAGCUUCUUAAAGCCUCAUUCUUCAAAUUCUCUUGGCACAUUUCUUCAAGACCAUUGCUCUAGGUAAACUGAGUGUAUGAUGUGUAUCUAUAAAUUUUCCAAUUCUUGCUCUAAGUAAAAUAAAUAAUAAAAAUUUGGUUAUUUUUGAAUUUUCAGGUAUGGGAAAGUGUUCAAGUCUCAUUUGUUCUUCACUCCCACAGUGGUAUCAUGUGAUGCGGAGCUGAAUUAUUUCAUACUACAAAAUGAAGGCAAGUUGUUUCAAUGCAGCUACCCAAAGACAAUUCCUGGCAUCCUUGGCAACCUCUCCAUGCUUGUCGCUGUUGGUGACACUCACAGAAGGCUCAGAAACGCUGCUCUUUCUCUAGUCACCAUCACCAAAUCAAAGCCUGAGUUUCUCAAUGACAUUGAAAAUUUUGCAAUUCAGAUAUUGGACUCUUGGAAAGAUAAGCCUCAAGUCAUCUUCUGUGAAGAGGCCAGAAAGGUACAGUUAUUUUUAAAUUAAUAAUUAAUCUGAAGUUAUAAACGUUAAUGGUCAUGCAUAUAUAAAUUCUGAAUAUUUUUUGUUUUACAGUUCACAUUCAAUGUAAUAGUGAAGCAAGUGCUAGGUUUAACACCAGAAGAGCCAGAGACCACAAAAAUUCUUGAAGAUUUCUUAACUUUUAUGAAAGGACUUAUAUCUCUUCCACUUUAUAUUCCUGGCACUCCAUAUGCAAGAGCUGUUAAGGUGACAUCAAUUAUUAUUAUUAUCAUCAUCAUCAUUAUUAUUAUAUUAUUAUUCUUUUUGUGUUGCAAAAAGAUUAAGGCAUGUGAGCAACUUCUUUUUGACUAUCUUUACAGGCUAGAAGAAGAAUAUCUUCAACUGUUAAAGCAAUUAUAGAGAAAAGAAGACGAAGAAGUAGUAAUAAUAAUACUGCUGAUAAUUCUGAAAAAAAGAAUAGUGAUUUUCUUGAGAUACUUCUUUGUGUUGAUACCCUAUCUGAGGAUGAAAAAGUGAGCUUUGUUUUGGAUUCUCUAUUGGGUGGCUAUGAAACUACCUCUCUCUUAAUGGCCUUGGUGGUUCAUUUUCUUGGCCAGUUACCCACUGCAUUAGAACAACUAAAGGUAAUAUAAAUUAAUUAAUUUUCUAUAUAUGUGUGUGAAAAUUAAUCACAAGCAUCAUCCAUGCAGUACUCCCUCAACUUUGUAAUUUACCCUAUUUAUUUUAACACUGUAGCUUGAGCAUCAAACUAUAAGAAGCAUGAAGCAGAAUAAUGAGCAUUUGAAUUGGGAAGACUACAAGAAAAUGGAUUUUACUCAAAAUGUAAGAGAAUUUAUAUAUUUUUAUUUUCUUAAGUACAUUUAUUAAUUCAUUAUCGAUCCUUUUUUUGAAUUGUUUUAUUGUAGGUGAUCAAUGAAGCUCUAAGAUACGGUAAUGUAGUAAAAUUUGUGCACCGAAAGGCUCUGAAAGAUGUCAAAUAUAGAGGUAGACAAAUUUGUUCAAAUAUUAUAAUUUGCAAAUCAUGCUUUACACAUAGUCAUGCAUGCAUGAACUUUAUGGGUUUGUUUUUACUUUUAGUGUCUUAUAAUGAAAAGAUUAGCUACUUUAUAUAAUUUUUAUAUUCUUUAUGCAGAUUACUUGAUUCCUUCUGGUUGGAAAGUGCUUCCUGUUUUCACUGCUGUUCAUUUAGACCCAUCUCUACAUGCAAAUGCUUUCCAGUUUCAUCCUUGGAGAUGGGAGGUAUAAUUGGUAGCUUUUGAUCAUCAAACAUGACAUAAUUGAAAUAAUUUUGUUUUGCACAAUAUUUAUAUGCAGAAUCAAGAUCAAACAUGCAAGAAAUUCACACCCUUUGGUGGUGGGUCUAGAUGCUGUCCAGGGUCUGAACUUGCCAAGGUUGAAGUUGCAUUCUUCCUUCACCAUCUAGUACAGAAUUUCAGGUAAUUUAUUCUACUAUAAAUCUAUAAAUCAUAUUUAUUAACAAAAUUUAUAUAAGUUUGAUUUAGUUUUAGUCAAACUGUGGAUAUUUUCGGGAUUGUCGUGCUUCUUCUAACUCUGAAAGCUCAAACAAUUAAAGUGUUUAUUAAAUUUCGACUUUUAUUUACAAACUAGUGAUUUUAUCAGACAAAACUACAGAUAAAAGCAUACAUUGAGUGAUUGACCUAUUGAUUAAUGUUUGGCCUUUUGUUUUUGAUUCUAUAGAUGGAGGAAUCAAGAUGAGGAUCAACCUAUAGCAUAUCCUUAUGUGGAAUUUAAAAGAGGCUUGGUGCUCAAUGUUGAAUGUUGUUCUGAUGAAGCUGAGAACAAGCAACAUUAAAUCCCCAGUAUCUUGAAGAAUCAUAUGGGCUUUCUUCUUGUCUUCCAUCUGUUUAUUUUUUCAGAAGGGUCUCUUAUUUACUAUUCUUCCGUGCUAGUUUUAUUUUAUGUAGUGGUUGUAAUCAGUGUAAUUUUUCCUUGUGAAUUAAAUAGCAAUAUAUAAUCUUCUUUGAACUGUCUACUAGUGAACAAGUUAUGUAUAUGAACUACUGGCCAUGAAUCCGGAGGGAAAGAAGUUACUUUUGUCAACUAGAUUUUUCUCUUUUGCUAACCAUUAAUUAUUGUAAUUAAUUAGCAUAACAGAAACAUAGCAAGUCAGCAACAUAGCUGAAGAAUGGAAAUAAAACAUUAAUAAGGCUUUCUUAUAGCCAUUAUCAGAGAAAUUAAAGGCUUAGUCCAGCUCUUAGGCAGGGUUCACCACUAUGGGACUCCUUACUUGGUGUUGUUUAUCAUCUGCCCAUACCAAGUCCCCAAAUACAUAGUCCUUAGUUGCAGCUCUGACCUUUCUAAACUUAAUGGUGACUUUGAAAUUCUUCUCUUCUCCAACCCUUAAGAACUUCAAGCUCCUCGGUUCAACAGAUACUGAGAUUCCUUUCGGAUUUCUGACACGAGCUAUGUAAGUUCCCGGAGAACCAACAUUCCUUACUGUUCGUGACACUAUGAUUGAGCCGGAGAGUUUGGGGACUGUGAUUGAAGGGUAGUUGAAGUUGGCUGUACUAACAUACUCGGGGCAUCUAUAGGUCUUGUCUGAGAAGAGUGCAAUUUGUGUCUUGUUGUAUCCCAAAGCACAAAGAAAAUUCAAGUAAUCAUUCUCAGUUAAGUCGUAAACCAACCCAGGAUCCAUUGCAAGGUUUGGUUGUAUAUGCCCUGCUCCAUAGCUAAAAGGUGUUGCUUUGUAAGACGAAGCAUUUAGAAUUUGUCCCUUAUUAUUAUCUUGUAUUGAUGCUGUGAAACAGAGGGCAAAGCAAGGGAUCAAAAUCGAGUUUUCGGCACUUGAAGCUGAAACCAAGCAUCAUGUGAUCACUAAGGGACUGGUUUUCAUGUACCUGUGGUCAUGAUGGCUGAUUUAAUUGCUGCAGGACUCCAUUCAGGGUGGAGAGUUUUGAGUAGACCAACAAUGCCAGAAACAUGAGGACAUGACAUUGAAGUUCCUGAGAGAGCGUUAAAUGGAAUCCGACGCCUGUCGUAAUCUUCAUUUGUUGGCCCUGCUGCUUCAGUAUAGGCAGCUAUAAUUGUCACUCCUGGUGCAGUGAUAUCAGGCUGUACAUAAAAUUAUGGUAACGAGUUAUUUAAUUUAAAUGACACAAAAGUUUGAAGAAAUUUUAUUUGCCAUUGAUAUUAUAGUACCUUAAGGAUCUCUGGGGCAAUAGAGCUUGGUCCUUUUGAUGAAAAGGCUGCCAUGAUUGGAGCUGGCUUUAAUCCGAGUUCUGUGGUUGCACGGGUAAGGUAACCAACAGGACGCCUGUUCGAAAUAGAAAUCAAAUUAUAGUAACAGUUGUCCCCCGGAAGCGAAUGAAAUGCUGAGAAAUUCUGCCAUCUUACUUGGUUGAAUUGACAUAUCUAAAUAAAUCAGCGCCAUCGGUGUAGUUGACAUGUGAAGCAGGAAGGAGAUGAGGAUCGGCUAAUAGCUCAUUCCCAUUUUCUAGGGCGUUUGCAAGAACCAUGCCUACAGCACCAGCCAAGAGCGCUUGCUGUCCCUUAUCUAUCCUCGCAUUAUCUCCGCGAAGGCAUACCAAGAUCUUUCCUUUCACCUUCUUAGGAUCAAGUGUUCCUGCCUCGCAUAGUAGGCUGCAAUGUGAAAUAAUUAGGUAGUUAAUCCACAUCUUUUUACAUGCUACAUAAGAUACCAAUGUAGUUAAAAUUAUUAUGUUCUCACGCGACUUCAGUUGAUGCAUUAGCUGCUUUAGCAUCUGCUGCGCUGAUUAGUGGGAAUAACUUGUUGCGCGGUAAGCCUUUAGAUGAUAAGCUUUGCCCCUUCAGAGUCAAAGUAUGUUAAUAUAUAAGUUCACGUUCUUUAAAAUAUGCUCAAAGAUUAAUUUCAAGCAUCGAAAAAAAAGGAAAGUCAUUAACCUUGUAGCGUUUGUUAUUGCUAACUACAACAUAGCUCGGAAAAUCUCUAUCCAUUGUGCUAGCGCCAACUGUGAUUUGCCAAGGCGCAAUAUUUGACACAGUGCUAUCAGUAGGACCAGAAUUACCCGCAGAACAAAUGACAACCAUUCCAUGCUUAACAGCAUGAAAAGAACCAAUUGCAGUGCUGUCAUUGAAAAAUUUGGAGGGCCCGCCACCGAGAGAAACAGACAACACAUCAACGCCAUCGUGAAUGGCCAUAUCAAAGGCUGCCAAUAUAUCGGCAUCAUAGCAUUCGUUCCCCGUCACAGGCGGCCAGCAAACUUUGUAAGCUGCUACUCUGGCUUUCGGUGAUCCUCCUUUUGCUGUUCCUUUGCCCAAGCCGAAAACACUUGCCUUGGCUACGAAGUUACCGCCAGCUGUUGACAAUGUGUGUGUUCCAUGGCCAUCUUUGUCGCGCGGAGUAUCAAAGGAAGAGUUGAGUGGUCCAACAGCAGCUGCGUAGCCUUUGUUGAAGUAUCUUGCUCCUAUUAGCUUCCUUCAGGGCACACACCAAUAAAAUUAAAUUACAAUUUUCAAUCCCCAAAUGACCUGUAAUAUUUUAGUCAAUUUACAGUAGAAACAUGAACAAUUCUGCCUGGUAUCUCAACUUGCAUAUAAAAUAGUGAAAUUGACGAUGCUUUGAUUAAAUCAUAAUUAAUCAUGCCAGCUAGAACUGAAUCCAAGUCAAUAGUAUGUGAGAUUUGCAUUGAAUUCAUAAAAUUAAGAUUUAUCCUCAACCGACGGAUUAAAAAACAAGGGAUUGACUUUCCACAACUAAAAUAUUAGACUUGUCAAAGCAGCAAGAUAGAUGUGCUAAUUACUAUUAUUUUUUUACAACUAAACUAUUAGACUUGUCAAAGCAGCAAGAUAGAUGUGCUAAUUACUAUUAUUAUUAUUUUAAUCUUGUAUUCAUUGCUUUUUUUGUAGGAAGAAUGAAUAGUGAUCAUUUAUGUUAUCAAAGUAAGCUUCAGCUUUAUGAGAAAUUUUCAAAUGAAUUUGUUUUGUGGUACCACUCCUACCCGCAGAGAAAGGAGAUUUAAGAUCCUUCAUUAUGAGAGUUUAAUCUUAAUUGAUUCCAUAAACAAAGUGUUGGGGACCAAUUACAAUGCAAAUUGAUGAAAGCUACUAUUUGAGAAAUUUUUAACAUAAAAAUUAACCCCAUUGACAAAAGGGGUAUUAAAGGGUGAGGAUUCAAAUUCAAUAAAGAUGCAAAAAGGGUUUUGAGAAUAAUUCUUAUCCAUUCAUGGAAUGGACAAAAGGUUUCAACAAGAAAAGCACUAGUGCAUAAGCAUGGAAACGUAUAGGAAUGAAUGAGAAAAACCUGUUGCAAAGAAACUUCGCAUCUUUGUCAUUUUCACAAAUUCCUUUCCACUUUGAUGGAAUCGGUCCCAAGCCUUCAUCACUAAAGCUUUUUGAUUCAGGCCAGACACCUAACACAACACAAUAAUCCCCAUUGAAGCAAAAGUGAUUCCUAUAACAGAAUGUCAAACUUGAUAGUGAAAGAGAAAGAAAUAAUAAAUUGGCACACCUGAUAUCAUAUAGUGUUUCAUAAUAACAUAUAUGUAUCUGGACCAUUUUUCCAACAAGAAAUCAAUCAUGUAAGUUCCCACUAUGGAUUAAAGAAACCAUUAGACCCAACAGCUUAAGUUGAUAAAUUAGAGUUUGCACAGGGUCUUGGCUCUGAUGCAAACCUAAAAAGUAAGAAUUUAAUUUCAAGUUACAUAAGGAGAAGAAUUCUUUAUUCUGCAACAGCUCGAUCAUUUUUUCCGAAAGUGGUUGUCUAAAGUUGAAUAUAUUAAACAUCUAGAAACCACUAAAUCAAAUAAUUUUGUCAUUGGUGAACUUGGAUUAGUCAAAAAGGAGAGUUUGUCUACAAACAUGGUUCAUAUGAAUUUCAAGUUUAUACUGUAUCAAAUUAUUAACAAUCAAAACAUCGUUUUCAAUUUUCUCAGUCAUAUUAUGGUGAAUUAUCUUUCUUUCCACGCAUGGAUAGAGUCAAAAAAUCGGAACUCUAAUUUAAUAAUUAUACCAUAUGUUAGAUCUAGUGGCUGUCAUGUAGUAUAGAUAAAUUAUAUUAAUAUAAAAAAAUUAUAUAGUAAACUAAAAUGGUCAAAUAAUUUUAUUUUAUUUUUCUAAAAAACAAAAACUAGAACUCACCAGUAUCAAGAUUUCCAAUAAUGGUAUCUUCACCAUAUCUUGCCUUCUUCCAGAUUGAGUUUGAUUCAACUCUGCCGUUGCGCUCGAGUCCAAGAAAUUCCCAUGAAUGUGUUGUGUGUAAUUUUCUUCCUUGAUUCAAGAAAACCGAAACAACUUUUGGAUGUUCUGCAUUAUGUAAAGAACCAAAAGCCAGUUACUCAUCAAGAAACAACACAAAAAUGCAAGAACAGAGAUGAAACAGAGGAGCCCUGUUUCGGUUUCUCACUUGCAAUCUCAGCUGCUACAGCAUCAUCUAGCUUUGCAGCAAAACCAUUGAUGUGUCUAGUGUAUGAGUAAAAGAUUGCAUCUUCAGGAUUGUCAUUACUGUUUAUGAAGUUGAAACAAUUAUGUCACUCAAAUUGGAUGCGAAUAAGAGACGUGCAAAUAGAUAGAUAUAUCAUAUGACCAAUUUUUCUUGAACUUAAAUUCAUUACCCAUGCAAAAAUGACCCAAGAAACUCAUAGUGAGACUCAGUGACUCGAUGUAGAUCAACAGCUGAUAAUUCAGGUCCAUGAGAGUGCGCACCUAAGUAAACAACAUAAGACUAGAUACAAGAAAGAUUAUGAAAUCAUUAGCAACAUUGGCUGCAAAGAGAGAGUUUCUAAUUUUUUUUUUUAAAUCACUAAUAAUGGAGGGAGUAAGAGGAUUAAAAUGCUUACCUUUUUGGCAGCAAUGGUGGGUCUGUAGCAUAGAGAAAAGAAAAGACAGGAUAAGAGGAAAAGGGAAGGAUUUAAAAUGAAAAUCCUCAUUGCUUGCUACUGCUAGUUGCUUUGCUACUUUGUUGUUGGUAUUGUGCUGCUCUGCUUCUCCUCCGUUUUUGUAGGGUCUCAUUUCUUUUUAUACACACAAUAAUGGAACAGAGGAUAGCAAUUUGAGCUGGGUAUGAUUAUGGUGCGUUUAGGAUUGAGGUUGCACUAAAGUAUUUGGUAAACACUAAUUGUUAUAGCUUGUAAGUUAUGUUGAUAUAAUUUUUCACUUAUAUAAUGAAAAAAUUAUUGUAUCUUUAAUAAUUUUGUCAAAAUUAUUAUUUAAAAUUUAUAUUUACUGCAUAUUAUUAAUUUUUGUUUGAUAGUUACAACUUUUUUUCCACAACAGUUGUAGCUUAAAAGCUACAGUACCUCAAUCCCAAACGAGAACCUUAACAUGUCAUCAUCAUCCUAAAAGUUACACUCAAUAGUCAAUACGAUACUAUUUUAGUAUAAUGUUAUGUCAUUACUAAUGUGAUUUCUAAGUGUGCGCUUUAGGUUAUAUGUUAAGGAAUCACAACCCUUAUCCUUAAAAAACAAGUUACUCAAUUUUUUUUUUAAAUUAUUCUAACCUUUCUUACUCUCUAAAAUAAGCUCAUAAGUUUUUCCUUUUUUUGUUAAAAAAAAAAAUUAGAAAUGGAGAUCAAUGUUAUAAAAAGUUAUUAACGAGAUCUUGACGAAUAUCUAAUAAGAUGGAUAAUAUAAUCUCUUCUCUUAUUUAACAUGUGAGUUAGGGCACAUGUUAAUGUAAUUCUAAGAUUGAAAUGUUCUUAAAAUUAUAUUUACGUCUAUAAUUUUGCAAAGACCUGCACAGAGAAAUUUUAUGAGUCAAAUUUUGAACGUGAAAUGUUCUGACUUUGAAGAAGAUACGGUGUAAGCAAAGCAAGAAUCUCAAAUAUCUCAACCUUUCCUUUCCCAUUUUUAUAUAGCCAAAGGCUAAAGCUCGUGUGCUAGUUGCCAAAAUAGUGUACUAGUAUAGCAAACAUAAUUGACCAAUCACUAACUGCCACAUGCAAAACUUAGGCUUCUUUACCAUAAGUUAUGGGCAAAACUAGGCCGGGCCCACCUCUAGCCAACUCAUCAAGGGCCUGUAAGUUGCCUUAUCUUUAUUGUGUGCGUAAAAUUAUAAUGAACUCAAAAUUUUCGUGUUUGAUUCUAAUUAAACAUCGUGAUAAGUAAACAAACCCAAAAUCAAAUAUAUCUCAAGGUACAUAUGGGUUUUUCCAAACAAUUUUCAAGUAAUAUUCCAAGAGAUUUCAUUCAAGUAAUGCAUCAUUCAUGGGUUUUCUCAAUCAUGAAAAUAUUAUUGACAAGUUUGAAUAAUUAAAACUAAAAUUUUAGGCUUUUUAUACUAACGAUAAAUAUCGAGAAUAUACUAGAAUAAACAAAUUCAAAAUAUUAUUUUAUAACAAAAUUUCCCUAGUCUAAAUAUGAAAAAUAAAAGAAACGGUACCCAAAUAUGAUAUCUAAAAAAAAGAUAAAAAUCUCAAAAAAAAUAAAAAAAUAGAAAAAUAAUUUAAAACAGUAAAAUAAUUAGAAAAGAAAUAGAAAUUUCAACUCGAUCACAAGACAUAACAACAAUAACAGUUUUGAGAUUUAAUUCGUCUCGUCGCAAGUUUUAAAAUAGUAUGUUACACUCCCAAAUGGUAAAUUUUAAUUUAGAUGAAUUAUUGAGGGGGUUAUCUAAAAUUUCAACGAUUGAAAGUAGUUAAUUUGUAUUUUAAAAGAGUAUAUUGAUUAGUAAAAAUGAAGAGAAGAAAUAGGCUGAUAGUAAUAGAUAGGGAUUCAAUUUUGAUCAAACAUUCCAACGUAGGUAAAUACAGAGACACGUGGAUUUGACUAUCUAUAUGUAUAUGGGAUGAUAAGGUAAAGGGAAAAAUUCAUUGUGGAAUUCAUCCUGUCAAAUUUGGAUUUCUCGCGAUUAUAAUUUUAUGCCCAAGCUGGUCAUGUCACUUUUUAUGGAAUUGAGCAACUGCGAAUAAACUGUGACCAUUACUAGGGCACGGUCAACAUGUACAGGGUUUUGUUGACCAAUGGAAUAUAGUGUCAAAAUUUUAGAAAUCAUUAUUUUCUCUGCACCGAAUUAUAUUCGCAUAUAUAUAUAUUCAUCCUAGUCAUCCUACAUACUAGCAUAAAGAUAUCUGGUUGGCCAAUGGAAUAUAGUGUUCAGUUGUCAAUUAAAAAAAUUGUUUUAAACUAUUGGUAUGUUUAGUUUUAUAUUACUAAAACUAUUUUUCAGAAAUUAAAUUACCAAUAAAAAUAUAUAAAAGAUUUAACUCCGUAAUCAUCCAAUUUUAAUAAAAUACACCAAACUAUCGAUUGAUAAGAAAAAUCAAUCAAUAAUAUCUUUCGUGUUCAAAAUUUAAAACACAAUAAUAGGAUAAUUUUUACUUUCCUCCCUUGAGUUUUGGGUUUUUUACACUUAGAUGGCCAAUAUCCAUUUAUUAGUAAAGCUCCCCUUACCAUCAAUUAAUUUUGUGCUUGACUGUUAGUUGAAUUGAAAAAGAUUGAAAUGCCCCAGUUGGAUUUUCAAGAACUUUCACAUCUCAUACAUUGGGCGCGAAAAUUAUAACAACCAUAAUAUUACCAUUAUACUCCUUAAAUUUAGAUUAUUUACAAUUGCACUCAACAAAUAAAAUGAUAAUUCUAAUCCUAAUCAUAAGUUACAUCAACCAAAAUACUCAUUUAAAAAGGUCAAAAGUUUAAGUCAAGUUAAAAGAAAUACUCACGAUUGCAAUUUGAUCGUUGGAUCCCAACGGUCACAUUGCCACAUAUUUACCUAUUUAAAGGCUUAAAUACAUAGCCUUGUUUACAAGCAUCACUACUUCCUCUCAACACUUUGCAAGCUCAACUACAUUUCUGUCAAUCUUUCAAUCUCAACAACAUGGAUUCAGAGGGCUCAAGUGUAGUAACCAACAAGAAGAAUAGAUAUAAUAAAGGUAGUAUGAAAUGGAGGAGUCAAGUUAAUGGAAAUCAAUGUUAAAGAAAAAGUUAAAAUUUAGUAAAUAGAAAAUGCAAAGUGUAGGUGAUUGGUAAUAACACAAAAAUGCAGCAUAUCAUCUAUUAGAUGCCAACAAAUUUAGUACAUAACAGAACUAUACAGAUUCAACACCAUCUAACUAACUUAAAGAGACUUAUCAUUCUAUAUGAAAACAUUUCAAGUUGUCGGAAUAACAUUAUAUCAAUUAUCUAAUUUAAGACUAUUGAGGCAUAUCUUACAUUAUGCAAUUAAAAACAAUUAUCAUUAAGUGUUUUAAACUUCAAUUUUUCAGCUUUGUAUAACUGUCAUUAAGACCAAAAAAAUUUGUUUAUACUUUCCUACAUUUUUCAUGCCUAUUAAAACUCAAUUAAAAAAGUACAUCAUGAAUAUUACAUGGCAUAAAUCGAAUGCACAAUCUACCAUAUAAGUUGAAACCAUAUGCUUGCAAAAUACCCAAAAUGGCACAUAUUGGAAAAUUUUUAUGUUGGAAAUUUUUUUCUCAAUUUUAUAUUUCACAAUUCCAUAAACAUUAUCAAAGUUGUGUCAAUAAAUAAAGAAUGAAGCAUCCACUUGACAUUUACAAACAACUCACAUAGUAUCAAUACACUCUAAAUGGAGCCCAAAAAAAAAAAAAAAAGCUUUGUUCAAAACUAACCUAUUAUUAGUUUCAACAUAGUGAUUCAAGUCUUUCGGGUAUCGGUGAAAUUCAGAGCGGUACAUGAUGUAGGUUUGAUAUUUCUUCUUCACUUUAGACAAGUAAUAGAUACUGCUUUGUUAGAAAUAAAGAUUUUUUUAACCUCCUAAACAGAGCUCUCAGCUAAGCUUCAUGAAAGAGAAACACUCAAUUUGAGAGAAAAGAGAGGAAGAUCUAAGCUUUGAAUUUUUUUACAAUUUUUUAUUUAUAUGAAUAUUUACAAGACACGAUUUUUUCGUAAUGAUUUGACAAUUCACUGUGCUCAUGUCAAUCAAAAUGCGCAAAAGUUAUGCUUGUCAAAUUAGAUUACCAAAUUGCCCAUAACUAACCAUAUGAGAACUACCGUUUGCAUUCCAUAGGGGAGUCUUUACUACUAAUAAAUGGAUCUUGGUCAUCUAAGUGCAGAAAGCCCAAAGUUUAGGGGAGGAAAGUAAAAAUUACUCCACAACAAUAAUAUAGUCUUCCAAAUAUAUAGUUCUAGACAAACGGUAUCAAUUAUUAUUACAUAAAAAAAAACAAUGCACAUAUAAAGCAAAGAUAAAAAGAAUGUCAAAUGAAAAAUAAUAGUGUACAUAUAAAACAUAGAAUUUCAUUUCCAGGAACAAAAAAGAGCAACACCGAAAUAAAGACAGAAGGCACCCGGCAACAGCAAGUCCAAUAAUUCAAAAAAAGCAAAAAAUUAAAAAAAAAAAAACAACUUAUGCUGUGUUCGUCAACAACUUUAUACACACACACGUAUAUGAAAUUAAUAAAAUUAUGUACGUUUAUUUUUAACAUUAUAUAUAAAAAUGAGAAGCUAUUUUGUCUUUACUAUUAAUUUGAACUUUUAAUAAUAAAGACAAUAGUUUUUAGAGAGCUCAAAAAAUUUAUAUUUCAAAAUUAACAAAACACCACAAUUUUUUUUUAAAAGAAAAGCACAUAUGACCUUUACAAAAGGCAAUACCAAAAACGUACUUAAAAAGUUUUCAUAUUUGCUUAGGCCUUGACCCUAUAAUGGUCCACUGAGAGAAACUAUAUAAGUUUUACCUUAUUUACUCGUGAUGCUAUUACCACCCCUUUAUUAUCCUUUUCGAACUUAUUUUUUAAUUGUGUUCGGGUGGGAUAGUUUAAACCCACCAAACUACUCAAUAUUCAUGUGGCUGGAGCAAUACCAGAAUUCGUAAAAGGAAAAUUAUUUGUUGCAUUUUUUAUUUUUCAUAUUCAAUAAGUGAGACCUUUUUUUUCAUAUAUUGUGGCAUAUGUCUCUAGCUUCGUGACGAUGAUGAUAAUAGAGGACGAUUAAACAUCUAGAUUUCAUGACAGAGAGACAUUCUCUCAUGGAGAUAAAAAUUAUUUUAAUGCUUUAGGUAGAACUUACAGUCGUAGGAAGAGAAACGAGUGACGAGUUUCGUUUGCGUUGGGAACAUUUUUGUUUUUUAAGGAAUACUAAUUUUUUUUCCCCUCCCAAGUGUUGGUAUUGAUUUUUUAUGAUUUUUUUUUAAUUCACCGGACAACUCGUUUUCCCUUGCAUACAUAGUUACAUACAAUUGUGAACUCUCUUCCUCAUAUUUUCAUUCUAAAGAGGUGCAAAUUCUAGGCGAGUUCUAAUCGGAAAAAAAAAAAUUACAAACACAGAGAUAAAAAUCACUAUUUGAAUAUAAAGAUGGAUUCAAAGAGUAAAAUUUAUAUACACACACGAUAAUUAUAAUUUGAUUUAGAAAUAUUUUAAUAAUUAACAAUUAUUUUUUAAAGGUAGAUAUAGUGAAUAAUUUGGUGAGGUAAAAUAGUCCCACUCUUUAUGUCCUAUUUAAUUCAUAAAAUAACCUUCAUUGUUAAACUUCCUUAAUAAACCAUGUGAGUGACUCUCUCUCUCCCCCAUUUCAAUCUUCUUGGAAUAUCAUCUCUCAGCAGAUUUUCUUCCUCUGUAAACACCAAUGAUUGAUUCUCUCAUUCCAUUUCAAAAAGAAACAAAAUGGGCACAAAAUAUGAUUGUUCUCUAACAUGUUCAAAAAGUUAAUAAUCUAUGACAAAACUAUAUUUCCCCAAAAAAAAAAAAUUGUAAAUAAGUGAGUAAACUUAUUUUAAAUCAAAUUCUUACUUUUUUAAUUGCCUUGUUUUUUGUUUGUAAACCUUGUAGAUUUAAAGAGUUUGUGAUGGAGAAAGAAAACAAGAGCAAAACCAGAGGCGGGUUUAAUUAGAUAGGUUUUAAAUCUCUUACACAUUUUAAAAUAAAAAGGAUAAAAUUAUAAAUGCAAAGCAGUAGGGGUUUUAAAAGAGAAAAGAACGGGUGCCAGUAGGGUCAAUCUUUACCCAGAGACAGGGUGGACCAAUGGGCCUUGUCAAAUCAGGGUCAAAAACUUCAAGCCCACAGCCGGAGAGCACGUGGUAGUUCCGGCACGCGAAUGGGUCCCAAAAGCCAAGCUGUCAAUCUCCUAUGAGCAAUGUUUUUUUAAAUUUAAAAAAAUAGGCCCUCAAACGGCCGUAAGAAAAUCCGUUAAACCACCCAGAACGAGGCAGUAAUUUGUCCCAUGCGCUGGCUCUGGCUCCGUCUAAUACAGGUCAAAAGGCCGUCAUGGACUUGAUUUGACUCACCCCCACGUUGUUAUCAUCAACCAUCCCUAACACGCAGUGAUGCAGACACGCAGGUCCACAUUUUUUAUAUUAUUAGAAAGAGACAAAAGUGUUUAAUCCUCCAAAAAGCAAGAAUUGGGGUUUAAUUUUAGCAUUAUUGAAGCUAAUAACGGACUAUUAUUGAAAGUAUUAAUUGUCUAGUAAUAAAGUAAUGAUGCUCCUAGUAAUAGUGGCCGUCUCUAUUUACACUCCAUCUCUUAUCUCUGUAUUUUCUGUUGUCUUUGCUUACUUCAUUUGUCUUUAAAAUCCCAGUUUAAGCAAAACUAGAAUCUCAAAUCAAAAGCGAAAGUGAAGUGAGUGUUUGGCUACGUAGAAAGUGGAGUCAUAAAAAAUUUCCAGAUAUAGCUCAGGGGAGCAUUUGCUUAAUUGAUUUAUUCAGCUGACAAAAUUUUAACUGCUUGAUUUGAGUUUUGCAGGAUACGCUUUGAUCUGCCUGGCUCCCUGGAUGCCAAGUAAGAAGCUUGUCGACAUGUGUCGAUUUCUCAUUAGUUGGCAUCAGAGGAGCCAUGCAGAUGCACCAAUGCCCGCCCUCCGAUUAAUCAGAUGAAAGGUUGGUACGAUAGAGCUAAUAGUCUUUUGAUAUAAUUUCUAUGGAAAGUGUUCGCAUGUUGUGAAAUUCAGAUCAUUUGACGCUAUACAAUGAAGCAUAGAUGCUAAAACUACGGUUUAUAGCAUUAAAUCUGAAUAUUUCUAACGUGUAAACAUCCACACUUGAGAAUUAUUGGUUCAUCUGGACUGAUUGCUCCUCCACGCUAUGAAUUCCAAUCUCUCCGAAUUUAGCUAACUCUGUUUCUCAGCGUCCCUGUAUGUGGCUCGCUGUGUAUGUGUAUAUGUAUAUUUGUUUUUACAGGAUGGAGCAACUGUAGGGGUCAUAGUCUCUAACCACGCAAACAUCGUAAUGAGGCAGUGGCGCCGCAACAUGAUAAUUAGGCCACACCACUGGCUCCGGAUUGGCCUCAAUUUUUUCAUCAUCCAUGCUCUGUUCACCAGCACCAGCACCAGCACCAGCAGCGCCGACGCUCACCACCUCCGCAUAACCCACCUUCUUUCUUAACGAAGUCGUGAGCGCAACCGCAUCUACCCCGUCUCCCGUCACCUCUAUUUGGCUCAUGUCGUCUCCUUUCAAUGCCACUGAUUCCACACCUAAGCAUGAAGAAAUGAACCAUGACAUAAUCAUUGCGGAUUUCAAUUAUAUGAAAACUAAGUAAUAGUUAAUUAAUGCGGACUCGUGCAUAAUUGGUCGCAAUUUAACACUGGAUUGCUACUACCAAUGUACAAGUUUGUAAAAAGAUGUCAGCAUUAGAAAACGAUUAUUUUACCUGAAAAUCCAACUGCGACCUUUAGGGCCUUCGAGCGGGACUUGUGCUUAUUCAUAUAAACUUUGAUCACCAUCUUUUGCUGCAACAAUUAAACCAAAGUUAUAAAGAACAGCAAAUAUUGACUAAACUUUAACACGCAACAAACACUUAUGAACACAAUAAUUUUUGAUAUUUUAACUUUGUACACAUAAUUAGUUUAAUUAUCACAGGGUUUUAUACCUUCAUGGUCUUGCUCUGUUGGAAAUUGUUUUGAUUCUUGAUUUCUUUAGGAGGUUUGAAGGCUUGGAGCUGUGUUGGGCUGUUGGCUAUUAUUGUGCAUUUAUAUAGCGCCUCUUGUGGUUCUAGUUCAGAAGUCGUAUAGAGGGCAAUUUCUUGGUGAUCUCAAAGAUAAUGACAACUUAAAUUCAUUGUACCUUCAUUCCAACUAUUCAAAAUUAAAAGCAUACACUUUGCUUUCUAGAAAUCAAAUUUUUAUUCAACCUAAUAAUAACAUGAAGAAUUUUUUCCCAUAAUAAAAACAUCAUUAAUUGUAGUAGGUUCUUCAGAAUUAUAUAAAUUUUCGUUGUUAAAUUGGGACUGGAUCUGCACAACAUUAUUAUAUAGCCAAAUGGAUUUAAGACUAUUGAUAAAUUUCUUUCGUUUAAGAUUCAUUAUGAUAUCUACCAAUUAAAAAACUGAAGUGGCAAUGUUCCUAUUUAAUUAAAUAAGUAGGAAAUGAAUGAGACCAGAAAUGUUCACAUUAUGACUUUGACUAUGCAAUGGAAAACGAAGGCAUGUGGAAAGACUAACUAGUGAACUUAGCAAUUAGUAUUAAAUUAUGACCACCAAAUAUGAUAAUGAACAAACAAAAGGUCGAUGACGUUUGACAUGUUAACCAUCCCUAAUUUGUCUUCAUUCAUUUAGCUUUACAGUCUCAAAGUCAUUGUAAAACUAAUUUUGUAUUUGGCAAAAGUGGGUGAAAUAGUCCAAGUAGUUUUUUUUUUUUUUAAAAAAAAGAUAUUAUCAUUUUAUCACUUAAUUUUUUUAAUAUGUUACUUUAUCAUUAAAAUUUUUAAGCAAUUAUUUUUUCCACUUAAUAUUUUAAUUUUUAUCGUUAAAAAUAAUAGAACUUUUAACAAAACUUUGAUUAAAAAUCUGUUUUAUCCCUAAGAUCUGUAAAUGCUAUUUAAUCCUCUAAAAUAAAAUAAUAUAAAAUUAAUUAUAGAUAGAGUAAUAAUGCUUAUAUUAGUUAAUUAGUUUAUAUAUCUAAAAUAAUUAAUUGAUAAAAUUAAAAAUAUUUUAAUACUUUUGGCUUAAUAGAUUGAAGUUCCUGAAGUACAGCUGUGAUAUCAAUAGUUUCUUCACAGAUAAUAGAUUGGUGAUAAAAUGAUAAAAGCUAAAAUAUUAGGUGAGAAAAAGUAAUUAUUAUAAAAUUUUGAUGGUAAAGUGAUAUUUAAAAAAAAGGUAAUAAAAUGAUAAUAUUUCUUUUGAGAAAGAUUUUCGAAGGUUAUGUGGCAUGACUCUUGUCGCCUUCCAAAUUAUAACUUUUCUCAACUUUAAAAUAGUUUAUUGUUUUGUGGUGUAAGUUUUAUUUGCUAAUAAAUUCCUCUUGAAUUUGGUGCAUUUUUUGAGAAUAAAAUUACUUCAACAAUCAAGAGCGAGAACGAAUGGCGUAAUCUCAAAAAAUUUCGCCUAAUUUCAGCAUUAUCGAGCCAAUAAUGAACCCUUAAUUCAGAGAUUAUGAACAAUCAUUAAGACUGUUUUAAUAAGUUCUUUGCUGCAAUAAAAAAAAAAAAGAGAUUCUCAAUUUUUUCUACUGAAAUUAUAAAAUACAAUUUAUCCCCCUACUGCAAUUAGUAAGAGAUUCUCAAUUUUUUCUACUGAAAUUAACUGUUUUAAUAAGUUCUUUGCUGCAAUAAAAAAAAAAAAGAGAUUCUCAAUUUUUUCUACUGAAAUUAUAAAAUACAAUUUAUCCCCCUACUGCAAUUAGUAAAUAUCACUUAUCUGUAGUUUAAUAAUCAAUAAUCUUCCUGACAUCAUAACUUUAUAGUGUUAUCUUUAUUUUCAAAUACACUUUUAUUCAUAUUUAUUAUUAAUUAAAUAAAUUGUAUGAACAAAAAUUAAAAUACUAAAAAAAGAAUAUAAGUUUUGAUGUGAAAAAAAUUAAUAAUAAGAUAUUUUUAAGUAUCUUUACUUAUAAUUAAUAUAUAUUUUAUAUUUAUAAGAUAAAAUAUUAAGUAAAUGACUCAUUUACCGAUUUACACUUCUUUUCCUUUAAAUUAUUUUAUGCCAAAAGAGUUAUUAGCUAUUAUAAAAAUAAUAUGGAGUAAGUAAUGUAUAGUAAUCUAAAUAGAGGAAAGCUAACAAACGAGGGUGGACAUUGAUUUGGUUCGGUUUCGGGACAAACUCUCAAUUUUGCCUGAGGGAAAUGGAGGACAUGGUCUUAGCCCCGACUUUAGUGUUGCUGGCCCGCGGGCCUCUGGUUCAAAGAAGUACUUUAAAUUAGUGAAUGGAAGCAAGUAUCGUAAGCAGUACUCUGCUCGCUAUCUCACUUUCAUACGGUUUCUUUCGUUAGGCUUUACAGUGUUCUCCCGCUUAUUCUUUGUUUCUUUUAUUUACUUUUGCUAAUUUUUUCUUGUUGGCUAUUUCUUUCUUGAGUUAGAGAGUUUGGUUUAUAUACCCCGAAUAUUUUUUUUUAUUUUUAAUUUACAAGUAAGGGAGUCAUGCUUAGCUCGCACACCCCAUGGGGGGUUUUUAAUUUAAAAAAUCCUCCAAUAUUAUUAGUGUAGAUGGAGCACACGUUUGUUUUUUUGUUUUUUAAAGAGAUUUUCUUUCAAAAAAGGUAGGGGAAUAGGAAAGUGGAUAAGCAUAAUUUUUUAUACCUAAUCAAAUUUAAACAGCCAAGUAAAUAAAAUUGAUUGAUAACUAAUUGCUCGAAUGUCCUUGGGAGUAAUCUUCUUUCAAAGAGACCUAAAAUUAAAACCAAGAGAGUAAAGAUAUUUUUGCAGGAUUUAGAUAAUCCACUAUAUUUCAAUAAGCUAGAAAAUUUUAACAAAUUUUCACAUCACCUUGCUGAUCUCUACUUUCUCCCACAGUAAUUAAAAAAAGUUUUUUUUUUUUAAUAGUAAAUCAAUUAUUUAUAUAUUCACACAACAAAUUACAAUAUCAAUACAGUAUUAAACUGCAUGCUUCUCCCCUGGAAACGCAACCAAUUAAUCAACUUGCUUCAUCAGAAUUUCAAUUCCCUUUCUUUCUUUUUGUUCGUCUAUCAUCUCCAACCCCAAGGUCACACUAUAACUACCCCAAGUGCAGUGCAAAUUUUAAUUUCUCAAAUCCUCUGUGUCAUGUCUCUGUUUCUCUUCUCACAUGAUGGAGCAGGGGUCAGCGUAUCGAUCAGCAGAAACCACAUGGUAAUCAUAGUGAGGCACCCACCCGCCGUAAUAGGGAGGCAAGUAUUGAG